rnacentral:rRNA from 1 species
AUUCCAGCUCCAAUAGCGUAUAUUAAUGUUGUUGCAGUUGAAAAGCUCGUAGUUGAAUUUCUGGUAGGAGUGACCCGACCUUUGGAUGAAUGUCCAUUGCGAUUCGGCGUUGUCUCUGGCCAUCCUUCCUGGCUUUGUCAGGAUCUUUCACUGUAAAAAAAAUUAGGGUGUUUCAAGCAAAAGUUUCUUUGGAAUAUAUUAGUAUGGGAUGAUAAGAUAGGCUCUUGAUGCUAUUUUGUUGGUUUGCACAUCAAGAGAAUGAUUAACAGGGACAGUUGGGGGUAUUCGUAUUUACAUGUCAGAGGUGAAAUUCUUGGAUUUUGGAAAGACGAACUACUGCGAAAGCAUUUACCAAGGAUGUUUUCAUUA